GACGAACGCUGGCGGCGUGCUUAACACAUGCAAGUCGAGCGGUAAGGCCCUUUCGGGGGUACACGAGCGGCGAACGGGUGAGUAACACGUGGGUGACCUGCCCUCAGCUCUGGGAUAAGCCUGGGAAACCGGGUCUAAUACUGGAUAUGACUCCAUGACGCAUGUUGUGGGGUGAAAGCCUUGUGCGGCUGAGGAUGGGCCCGCGGCCUAUCAGCUUGUUGGUGGGGUGANGGCCUACCAAGGCGACGACGGGUAGCCGGCCUGAGAGGCGACCGGCCACACUGGACUGAGACACGGCCCAGACUCCUACGGGAGGCAGCAGUGGGGAAUCUUGCGCAAUGGGCGAAAGCCUGACGCAGCGACGCCGCGUGAGGGAUGACGGCCUGG
rnacentral:rRNA from 1 species